CCUACGGGCGGCAGCAGUGAGGAAUAUUGGUCAAUGGGCGCGAGCCUGAACCAGCCAAGUAGCGUGAAGGAUGACUGCCCUACGGGUUGUAAACUUCUUUUAUAAAGGAAUAAAGUGAGGCACGUGUGCCUUUUUGUAUGUACUUUAUGAAUAAGGAUCGGCUAACUCCGUGCCAGCAGCCGCGGUAAUACGGAGGAUCCGAGCGUUAUCCGGAUUUAUUGGGUUUAAAGGGUGCGUAGAUGGGUUGUUAAGUCAGUUGUGAAAGUUUGCGGCUCAACCGUAAAAUUGCAAUUGAUACUGGCAGUCUUGAGUACAGUUGAGGUAGGCGGAAUUCGUGGUGUAGCGGUGAAAUGCUUAGAUAUCACGAAGAACCCCGAUGGCGAAGGCAGCUUACUAAACUGUGACUGACAUUGAUGCUCGAAAGUGUGGGGAGCAAACAGGAUUAGAUACCCCAGUAGUC
rnacentral:rRNA from 1 species